rnacentral:rRNA from 1 species
AUGGAGGAUGCUGUGGUGAGCGCGGCGACGGGGGCCAUGGGACCGGUUAUGGGGAAGCUGGUCGCUCUGCUCGGCGAUGAGUACCGGCGCCUGAGGAGUAUACACACCGAGAUCAAGUCCCUCACUCGGGAGCUCGAAACCAUCGAUGCUUUCCUGGAGAACAUGGCGGAGGCGGAGGAUCCGAACCCGCAGGACAAGGCGUGGAUGAAGGAGGUGCGGGAGCUGUCCUAUGACGUCGAGGACAACCUCGAUGAGUUCAUGGCCCGCGUCAUCGCCGACAAGUCCUCCAAGCCGGACGGGCUCGUGGACAAUAUCAAGAGCAAGCUCAAGAGACUCAAGGCUCGCCAUGAGAUCGCCAAGGCGAUCGAAGAUCUCAAGAAACAAGCCAUGGAGGUGAGCCAGAGGAACAAGAGGUACAGGGACCACGCCAUGUCCAACACCAGCAGGUCGCCCAAGAUUGUUGACCCCCGAGCUCUUGCCAUCUUCGAGGACGUGUCUAAGCUUGUUGGGGUCGAUGGGCCCAAGAAAGAGCUCCUCCAACGCUUGGCCGAUGACCAGCAACAAACAAAGUUGGUCGCUAUUGUUGGGUUCGGAGGAUUGGGCAAGACAACAAUUGCCAACCAGGUAUACCAAGAGCUCAAAGGGCAAUUCCAAUAUCGUGCCUUCUUAUCCGUGUCACGGAAUCCAGACAUCGUUAAUGUUAUGAGUAAUAUUUAUGGCCAAUUGAAUCAUGGGUAUUCUGGUGGCGGCACGGAGAACUUGCAGACACUCCUCGCAAAGAUUUUGGAGUUCCUCCAAAACAAAAGGUACUUAAUCGUUGUUGAUGAUAUAUGGAAGGUGGAUGAUUGGAAUGCUAUUAAGUGUGCUUUUCCAACAACAAGUCCGGGGAGUAAGAUAAUCACCACUACUCGUAUAAAUGAUGUGGCUGAAUCAUGUUGUUCAUCAUUUAGUGGCCACAUAUACAAUUUAAGGCCUCUUAAUAUGUUGCAAUCGAGACAAUUGCUAUAUGCAAGACUAUUCAACUCUGAAGAGAAAUGCCCUUCGGACCUUAAGGAAAUCGCUGACCAGAUUUUGCAGAAAUGUGAUGGCGUACCUUUGGCAAUUGUUGCUAUAUCUGGUGUCUUGGCUCACAAGGCAAGUAAAAAGGAUAAAUGGAAUCAAGUGAAGGAUUCAAUUGGUCGUGCACUAAGAAAUUCUAGCGUUGAAGCAAUGGUAAAUAUAAUAGCCCUUAGUUACUUGGAUCUUCCUCGUCAUCUCAGAACUUGUUUGUUGUAUCUGAGUAUAUUCCCAGAAGAUCGUAUUAUCGAGAAGGAGAACUUGAUAAAGAGAUGGAUUGGUGAGGGAUUUAUAUGUAAAGAGAGCAGUCAUACAAUGUAUGAGUUGGGAGAGAUAUAUUUCAAUGACCUCAUCAACAGGAGCCUGAUCCAGCCCACGGGGAUUGGUGGGAAAUGUAGCGAGGUCAAGAGUUGCCGAGUUCACGACACUGUUCAUGAUUUCAUUGUGUCGAAGGCCGUGGAUGAGAACUUUGUUACUGUAAUAGGUGUACCAGCUGGUGUAAAUCAUGAUCCACAGAUGAAGGUUCGUCGUUUGUCCCUGCAGAACAACGGAGAGAUUCCGGCGUGUCUGAUUGUAUCUAAUGCUCGGUCACUCCAUGUUUUCGGGCGUAAUGCGAAGAUUCCGUCUGUGUCGCAGUUCGGGCUCUUGCGUGUCAUGGACUUUGAACACUGUUGGCAGUUAAAGGAUUAUGACCUUGCUGGCAUCGGAAAUUUGCUGCACCUCAAGUACCUGAGGCUCAAGCACACAGGUGCACUCAAAGCGCUUCCGGAAGAGGUAGCAAGGCUGCAGGAGUUGCAGAUUGAUAUAGAUGGAUCCGUCUACGAGAUGGAAUUCCCAGAGGCCUUCCAACGGCUGGUAUGUAAUGUAGCUCUACAUCUUAAUGGGGGUCGUAAGGUGCCGGAUGAGAUAGCAUCCGUGCAAGGGCUAAGAGUGUUGGAAGGUCUCAGUGUGUGA